rnacentral:rRNA from 1 species
UACGGAGGGUGCAAGCGUUAUCCGGAUUUACUGGGUUUAAAGGGUGCGUAGGUGGGCAGUUAAGUCAGUGGUGAAAUCUCCGAGCUUAACUCGGAAACUGCCAUUGAUACUAUCUGUCUUGAAUAUCGUGGAGGUAAGCGGAAUAUGUCAUGUAGCGGUGAAAUGCUUAGAUAUGACAUAGAACACCAAUUGCGAAGGCAGCUUACUACCCGAAUAUUGACACUGAGGCACGAAAGCGUGGGGAUCAAACAGG